rnacentral:rRNA from 1 species
UACGGGGGGGGCAAGCGUUGUUCGGAAUUACUGGGCGUAAAGGGCUCGUAGGCGGCCAACUAAGUCAGACGUGAAAUCCCUCGGCUUAACCGGGGAACUGCGUCUGAUACUGGAUGGCUUGAGGUUGGGAGAGGGAUGCGGAAUUCCAGGUGUAGCGGUGAAAUGCGUAGAUAUUGGGAGGAACACCGGUGGCGAAGGCGGCUACCUGGACCGGUACUGACGCUGAGGCGCGAAAGCUAGGGUAGCAAACAGG